rnacentral:rRNA from 1 species
AUUGAACGCUGGCGGCAGGCCUAACACAUGCAAGUCGAACGCGUGGCGGACGGGUGAGUAAUGUCUGGGACAUUGUCUGAUGGAGGGGGAUAACUACUGGAAACGGUACCUUAUACCGCACCCCAUCGGUUGUGCCCAGUUGGGAUUAGCUUGUUGGUGGGGUAACGGCUCACCAAGGCGACGAUCCCUAGCUGGUCUGCGAGGAUGACCCGACAAACUGGAGCUGAGACACGGUCCAGACUCCGACGAGUGGCAGCAGUGGGGAAUAUUGCACAAUGGGCGAAAGCCAGAUGCAGCCGUGCCGCGUGUAUGAAGAAGGCCUUCGGGUUGUAAAGUACUUUCAGCGGGGAGGCGUUACCCGCAGAAGAAGCACCGGCUAACUCCGUGCCAGCAGCCGCGGUAAGUC